UUUCCAUGAGCUGCCUGGUGCAGCCAGGCUGCUGCUGCUGCCACCGCUGCUCCUCCUAACCUCCCUCUCUGCGCUCGGCUGCUGCGUCUGGGAGGAGAAGGGGAGGGCAGCCUUCUGAAGCCCGCUUCCUCCCGAGUAGACCUGCCCGGCGGGGUGCAGAGAGGGCCGAGAGAGAGAGAGAGACUCUCUAUUGAGUCUUUCCCUGACUGUCAACUGUAUUUCUUACAUCUGCAGCAGUUGCUUUUUAAAUAAUAUGAUUUUAAUGUAUCUUGCUAUGUUGCAAACUGUGCUGUGCUGAGCGCCUCACUCCCCCCCCCCAAGGACUUUGUGCCUCCGCAGGGGAGAUUUAGUAUCAGAGGCUCUGACGGCAGAAAAACAGCUGCUGAGCCGGGAGGGGAUGACUCGAGUCCCCAGCGCCUGCAUAUUUCUGCCUCCUUAGCGAAAUAAGCAACAGUUUCGAACCCCCCCCCCCCAGGAAGGAGCAGUAGAGAGGAGGUAAAAAAAGGCCUCUUCUCAGAGAGUAGCGCUCAAUCCCUCAUCUUUCCUGACAACUGAGGCCGGAUUGAAAUUGAGGCGGGGAGGGCCCCCCGGGGGCUCUUAAAGGGGCCGCGCUGCUGAAGGGACUUGAGGGAAAGGCUGUUGCUGAAGCAAGAUGGUAUAUCAGAAUUCGGACUUAAGAAACAGGCAUGUUCUAGAAGAGGGAGACAAGUUAACCUGCUAAAUGAAUCGGUCACUACUGCAUCUUGCGGACCCCUGGGGGUCCGCGGACCACCUGUUGGGAACCACUGGCCCAGAGUAAUGGCCAGAUGCCAGGUGCUGGAUCACUUUCAGUUUUGAGAAAAGCAAGAUGACAAAAGGUACGCAGUAGAACUGAGUCUUUGGAGUGGGGGCGGAAAUGCCGAAAAUGAUUGAUUACAAGAAGGUUGAACGUUGGAGGGGGAGCAUUCCACACAGAAAGUUACCAGAUAUAAACACCUCUUGCAAAUUAAAGGAUAUGGAACAGUUAAAUACGAACGAAAGUCAACACAUCAUUGGCUGUUAAAAUAAAGGAUCAACAUUGGAAUUGUAUUAUUUGGAUUAAAUAAGUGGAUUGGAGUAGGAACAAGGAAUCAACAUCUCCUAAAAAUCUCCUAAAAUCAGAAGUCAACCAAAAUGUUUAAUUUGGAAUCUGACAAUUGGCUUUUUAAAAUUGAAUUAUGAUUUGGUAUGUGGUCUAUACUGGAUUGUUAUUGAUGAAAAAUUAAUAAAUAUUAUUAUUAAAUUAUUAUUUCAUUAUCAUAAAAAUUGUCUAUGCCAAAUAAAAGUUUUACUGCUAGGUGCUCCUUCAUAUUAUGUAGGCGUACCCAAGACUGACUGAUUUUGAAGAGUACUGCUGCACCUUACAUUGAACUGACUUGAAUUAAGAUUACUUACAUUUCACAAUGAAGCAAGAACCUUUGCUCCAGGUAGUCCUGCAGAAUUUUAUUCCUUUAAUACCAAAAGGGAAUGCAAGCUAGAAUACUUGAAUAGAACUGUUCAAAAGUGGACUGGCUACUGUUUCCUGAUGUUAGUCUGAGCCCCAGUUCUGAUGCAACAGCCAAAUGCUGUUGAGAACUGGCUUUGAACUUAUAUGUCAUGAUGCCCAAAUCAGGCUAAUUGUAAUAAGAAGGCACCUUACUCCAAACCACUGUUUAGACUUCAUGGCAAAUUAUGGUUAAUGUAAAAUUGAGACUGAAUGUGAAUAUCUGGCAAGGGUUUGAAAGCCUGUUUGACAGCCAUGUUACAAUUUUUCUUUGAUGUCUGUAUUAGGCCUCACAUGCAUUGUGACAAAUGGCUUAUCACUCUUACCUGAACCAGUUCCUCAGGGAAAUCAUUUUGGCUUGAAGGUUGUUCAUUAGGUGCUACAAAAUAUGGGAACAUUUGGUUAUGCCCUUUCUACAAAGGAAACUGCUCUUCAAAUAUCAUAGCUGAACAACUAUCAUAACAUUGUAUGCCUGAUGCUAGAUAAUCUAUUAAGACAAUGCUCUAACAUAUAAGGUUUUAUUUAAAGAUGUUUAUUGAUACUUGAAAAUGGAGUUGUAAAAAGUCAGCAAGAUGUACAAAUCAAAAGAAAAUAAAAACCAUAAUAACUAUCACAAGCCAUCAUCAACAAAACAUCAGCUGAGAAAGGGGACAGUGUGAGACAUGUCAGGCCAACCAAAGAGUCUGUUGGGAGGAGGGGAGGUAAAUACUCCCUCUAUAGUGAUGUAUGAGUC